GAUAUAAGCUUAACAUUCUAUGAAGAAGUAUAUUAUUUUCUACAAAAUUAAAACCAAAAUUCUUUUUCGUUUUCUUGUUGUGGGCCCGUUAUCAAUCUCACAAGACAUUAGAAACAAAACCUCAUCUUGCGGGACCCUCGUCGAAAUCCAAAGAAUUUGAAACAGGAACAAUCUGAAAUUUGCGUUAAUCCUUCAUCGAACCCAGCUUCUUCUUCCCUCAUCAUAUUCAUCUUUUUCUUCUCUCAUCGAACUUAGUUUUUUAUUCCCUAGAACUCAUAAACCUUCUUAUUUCUCCUUGAGCUAAUCUCAACAACCCUUAUCGGCAAUUUCAGCCUCCACUGACAAAACUCAAAAACCCUAAAACUAAAAUCCAUUGAAGCAAGAACUCAGAGAUACUAAAAGUCGAUUUAAACUCUAAAAUCAGUUCAGAAGUUAGGAAUCCAUUGAUUUUUUUCCCACAAUUAAUUGAAACCUUAUAAAUAUCUUCUUUCAUUAACAAUACUCCAGGAUUUUGGAUUUUUCCGACAGGUUCAUCAAUUAUUAAGUGCUCAAUGGAGUGUGAACCCAAGGAUUUGCCUGGGCAUCACUGAGUUAUAAGGAUUAGCAGACUGGUUUCAUAAGAGAUUUUGUUUGAUUUGGGGUCUGUUUAGCUGCAGAAAUCCCAGGUGUAUUCAUAUAGUGGUGGUGUAAUCCCUGCAGGUUCGGGUGGUGUUUUGUGAGAUUCGUUGGCGGUAGUGGUGUGCUGGAAGUUUUAUCAGUCUAGGUGAAUUGUCUCCUUCAAGAACUUCCAAUCUCGGUCCGCUGAAGGGUAAAUUUUAUUCUUUGAGUAGGGAAUCUUUGUUCUCGCUGUUGUCACGUCGGUUUAGCGGUCUAAGUGGAACUGCGAGUUUUUCAUUUUGACAGUGCAGUGGAUUUUUGGUUCAGGAUUUAUGUCAGUUUCUUAAGUUGGCUGGUUUCUUGUCCUUGGUGGUUUUGUGUUAUCUAUUUUAGGUGUAAGUUUUCAUAGCUCUUAAAUUGUUGCAGUAUUGGGUUGGUUCUGUAUUGAGGUGUAAUAUGCCUAGAGUUGCUGUUCUGAGCAGUGGGUAUUUUGCAUUUCAGGAUGUAUGCAUGUCAGCUAGCUUUAUUUCUCAUCUUGUUUGGAUUUAAGGUGAAAUAUCCUAGAAGAACUGCUUGAUAUCCCAGUAUAAGUGUAGAAAUACAACUGCCUGAUGCGGUGGGAGAGACAGGUCAAUUUAGUUUGGUCCAACAAGAUAAGAGUUAGGUCGACGUGAUGACAGCUCGUCAUUCUGGUGAGAAUAAUCCUCGAUGGAGAUGUUACUCAUAACGGUUAUCGUUUACUCCGCGACGGUUUUGAUUUCUGACAUGUUCAAUUACCGAUCAUUCUCAACUUGCAUGUAAGUUGUGUUUGAAUCAUUUCGUUGAUAAUCCCAUGGUUAAAACAUUUGGUAGCUGGUAUCGAAGAGGAAUUAAAGAUAGAUUCUGUCUGGAACAAUCAUCUCCUCUUUCAACAAUAAGGUAGUAGAACCCUUCAAGUUAUUAGAAAGUUUAGGGACAACAAGCUCACAGUUCAAUAGUUCUGGAUCCAAUGGGAUAACAGAACUGCAAUGAAGGCAUCUUGGGAAGCAAACCCCAAAGCCAAGAGCUGUUUAUACCAUAUGAUAAUUGAGCUUCUGAAAAUUAUUUGAUAAUAAUGUGAAAGUACAAGUUUCAAUCUUGAUAUAUGGGCUAAGCCAAAGAAAUACUAAUCAGGAAAAGGAAAUGCAAUAAUAUGUUACUAGUUACAUUAUUAUUUUCUAUCCUUAGAGAUAUCUACAAAUUUACAACAAUACAUGUACUUAUUUUUCAUUAUGAUAUAGUCUGGUAACUUAUUUGUCAUAAUUAUUUUCUAAUUGACAUGGUUUGGCAUAAGCUGACAAGAGGGAAAAUUUGGUAGAGCCCUUUUCUGCUUUAUGUUGUAUUGAUAAGUUAUUUUGGAUUAUGGAUAGGAUUGUUGAACUCAUUAUUAUGUUAUUUUUGUAUAUUUUUUGUUGUUGCAAGUAACAUUUUAAUUAUAACUAUUGGAUGCUAGGUGGGAGUCUCAAGGGUAUUUUAAGCCAAACUUCGACCGGGGAAGUGAUCUUUCAGUGAUAUUAAUGCCACCUCCUAAUGUUACCGGUUCUCUGCACAUGGAGCAUGCAAUGUUUGUAGUACUUUGCACUGCUCAACAAUAUUUCAAGUUAGGCUGAAAAAUCAUUCAUAUGGUAACUAUUCACUAGUAUUUAUUUAAUCUCUUUAUAUAUGGUUUGUUUUAGAUGGAAGUACAAAGUUAGUUGUAAUAUUGUAUUCAUCAACUAAUGAUCUUAAAUAUUUUGACUUUGAUAUUCAUAUGAUAUAACUUUCUCACACAUAAAAGGUGAUACAUUUAUAUUUAUUAUUUAAUAGAACUUGUGUAAUCAUUUUAAUCAUUAUCAACUUCAAAUCAUCAUGAAGUUAUAGUUAUAUUUGAGGCUAACGUUCCUUCUGUGGUUAAUGAAUGCAAUAUACUAGUAUAUUAUCAUCAGUAUUAUGUUCCUAGCCAAAUAGUUCUUAAAACUUGUGCAUUGAUAUAGAAUUUGUGUAUUACCUGAAUUAGAAUACAAAAUUAUAUACAAUUUUGAAUCCAAUUUAUGAUUUGCAAUUCGUAUAAUAUGUACAUUUGUACACUCUGUUUGCUUAGUGGGGAUAUUAAUCCUGUUAAAUAAUGAGUAAAAAAAACUCUCAAAAGGGCUUUGUUAGCAUUUUUAUUUAAAGUGCUAUUAAAUACAAGACAUAUGAUAGCGCUUUUACGUAAAGAGAUAUUAAAUCAAUGGCCUAUGAUAGCCUUUUUUUGGAAAAGUGCAAUUAAAUACUUU